GAUGAACGCUGGCGGCGUGCCUAACACAUGCAAGUCGAACGGAGUCGUUUUGGAAAUCUCUUCGGAGAUGGAAUUCUCGACUUAGUGGCGGACGGGUGAGUAACGCGUGAGCAAUCUGCCUUUAAGAGGGGGAUAACAGUCGGAAACGGCUGCUAAUACCGCAUAAAGCAUUAAAUUCGCAUGUUUUUGAUGCCAAAGGAGCAAUCCGCUUUUAGAUGAGCUCGCGUCUGAUUAGCUAGUUGGCGGGGUAACGGCCCACCAAGGCGACGAUCAGUAGCCGGACUGAGAGGUUGAACGGCCACAUUGGGACUGAGACACGGCGCAGACUCCUACGGGAGGCAGCAGUGGGGAAUAUUGCGCAAUGGGGGAAACCCUGACGCAGCAACGCCGCGUGAUUGAAGAAGGCCUUCGGGUUGUAAAGAUCUUUAAUCAGGGACGAAACAAAUGACGGUACCUGAAGAAUAAGCUCCGGCUAACUACGUG
rnacentral:rRNA from 1 species